rnacentral:tRNA from 1 species
GGGCGGUUAGCUCAGUUGGGAGAGCGCUUGCUCGACAAGCAAGAGGUCACUGGUUCGAGCCCAGUACCGCCCA